rnacentral:rRNA from 1 species
UAAAGGAAAUAAGAGCGCACAGUGGAUGCCUAGGCACCAAGAGCUGAUGAAGGACGCAAUUAACGGCGAUACGCUACGGGAGCUGUAAAUAAGUGUAGAUCCGUGGAUUUCCGAAUGGGGCAACCUACUAUAAGAAGUUAUAGUAUCAAUUGUUAGGCAACUAACUGAUUGAAAGGAACGCAGUGAACUGAAAUAUCUAAGUAACUGCAGGAACAGAAAGUAAUAACGAUUCCGGUAGUAGUGACGAGCGAAUCCGGAACAGCCGGAUACCAAUAACUAGUUACCAAAUUUUAAUUAACUCGAAAUAGUUGGAAAGCUAUAUCCCAGAAGGUGAAAAUCCUGUAGAGGUAAGUUAAAAUCUAGGGUAUCCUCAAGUACGGCGAGACACGAGAAAUCUUGUUGGAAGAUAGGAGGACCAUCUCCUAAGGCUAAAUACUCCUUGGUGACCGAUAGUGAACUAGUACCGUGAGGGAAAGGUGAAAAGAACCCCGGAAGGGGAGUGAAAUAGAUCCUGAAACUGUGUGCUUACAAGUAGUCAAAGCUCGUUUAAGAGUGAUGGCGUGCCUUUUGCAGAAUGAACCGGCGAGUUAUGAUAUAGAGCAAGGUUAAGUUUGAAGGAACGUAGCCGUAGCGAAAGCGAGUCUGAAUAGGGCGUUUAGUUGUAUGUCAUAGACCCGAAACUGAAGUGAGCUAGCCAUGAACAGGCUGAAGUGACGUGACCACGUCAUGGAGGGCCGAACCAGGACACGUUGAAAAGUGUUUGGAUGAUUUGUGGCUAGAGGUGAAAUUCCAAUCGAACUCAGAGAUAGCUGGUUCUCCCCGAAAUAGCUUUAGGGCUAGCGUUGGGUAUUUAAUAGUUCUUGAAGGUAGAGCACUAAAUGAGUGCGGGCUCCACCUCGGGGUACCAAUCUCAAUUAAACUCCGAAUGUCAAGAACCGUAUCCCAGCAGUCAGACGAUGGGUGAUAAGGUCCAUGGUCAAAAGGGAAAGAGCCCAGACCGUCAGCUAAGGUCCCUAAAUUAAUGUUAAGUGGUUAAGGAGUAAAAACGUUAAAACAAUUAGGAAGUUGGCUUAGAAGCAGCCACCCUUUAAAGAGUGCGUAAUAGCUCACUAAUCUAAUAUUUUGCACCGAAAAUGUAACGGGGCUAAACAUUAUACCGAAGCUACGGAUAUGUUCCGGCUAGUAAUAGCUAAGGAACAUGUGGUAGAAACGUUCUAACAUCGUAGAAGCUAUAGCGGAAGCAGUAGUGGAGAGGUUAGAAGUGAGAAUGCCGGUGUAAGUAACGAAAAGAUAGAUGAGAAUUCUAUCCGUCGAAAACCCAAGGUUUCCAGGGGCAGGGUCGUCCGCCCUGGGUUAGUCAGGAACUAAGGCGAGGCAGCAAUGCGUAGUCGAUGACCAGCAGGCUAAAAUUCCUGCACUAAAAAAAUCACUGAUGGAGGGACAAAAGAGGAUAAGCACGCCCUUUAUUGGAUUAGGGUUGAAAAAUCGAGUUUGAGAAGAUAGGCAAAUCCGUCUUCUUACUUGCCAAAAAAUGAGAUUUGAGGGUAACGUGACUGUGUUCAUAUUUUCUAGAAAAGCUUCUAGGGUUAAUGAUUUUUUUACCUGUACCGUAAACCGACACAGGUGGGAAGGUAGAGUAUACUAAGACGCGCGAGAAAACUCUUGUUAAGGAACUCGGCAAAAUGACUCCGUAACUUCGGGAUAAGGAGAGCUUUUAUGAUAAAAAGUAAAAGCCGCAGAGAAUAGGCCCAAGCGACUGUUUAUCAAAAACACAGGUCUCUGCUAAACCGUAAGGUGAUGUAUAGGGGCUGAUGCCUGCCCGGUGCUGGAAGAUUAAGAGGAGAUGUUCGGGCUUGCCCAAAGCAUUGAAUUGAAGUCCCAGUGAACGGCGGCCGUAACUAUAACGGUCCUAAGGUAGCGAAAUUCCUUGUCGGGUAAAUUCCGACCUGCACGAAAGGCAUAACGAUUUGGGCGCUGUCUCAACAAGAGUCUCGGUGAAAUCAAAUUACCGGUGAAAAUGCCGGUUACCCGCGACAGGACGAAAAGACCCCAUGGAGCUUUACUGUAGCUUAAUAUUGGAAUUGGAAAUCUCAUGUACAGGAUAGGUGGGAGACAGAGAACUUUAGACGCUAGUUUAAAGGGAGUCACCGGUGGGAUACCACUCUUGAGAUUUUUAGUUUCUAACCUGCAUAAGUGGAUUAUGAGGGACAGUGUUUGGUGGGCAGUUUGACUGGGGCGGUCGCCUCCUAAAAAGUAACGGAGGCGUUCAAAGGUUCCCUCAAAAUGGUCAGAAAUCAUUUUUAGAGCGUAAAGGUAUAAGGGAGCUUGACUGUGAGACCUACAAGUCGAGCAGGGACGAAAGUCGGACUUAGUGAUCUUGCGGUACCGAAUGGAAGGGCCGUGACUCAACGGAUAAAAGCUACCCUGGGGAUAACAGCCUUAUCGCCCCCGAGCGUUCACAGCGACGGGGCGGUUUGGGACCUCGAUGUCGGCUCAUCGCAUCCUGGAGCUGGAGCAGGUUCCAAGGGUUGGGCUGUUCGCCCAUUAAAGCGGUACGCGAGCUGGGUUCAGAACGUCGUGAGACAGUUCGGUCUCUAUCCGUCGUGGGCGUUGGAAAUUUGCGAGGAACUGUCCCUAGUAUGAGAAGACCGGGAUGGAUAUACCGCUGGUGCACCAGUUGGUUCGCCAGAGCCAUAGCUGGGUAGCUAUGUAUAGUAUGGAUAAACACUGAAAGCAUCUAAGUGUGAAGCCUCCCUCAAGAUGAGAUUUCCCUAAGAGAUCCCUGAAAGACGAUCAGGUUGAUAGGCUAGAAGUGGAAGAGUAGUGAUAUUUGGAGCUGACUAGUACUAAUAGAUCCAACGACUUUGAUGA